GGCCAAAAAGUGCCUGGACUUUCUUGAAGAAAAUGGAUUAUAAAACAAAAACUUAAAGUCCAAGGCUCCCAAACUUUCUGGGGCAGAUGUAUAAUAGUUGAACUUUCACAUUUGACAUGUGUAACCUUUUGUCUAAUGGCAUUCAGAGUUUCUCAUUUCAUAAAAACCUUGAAAAUCUA